GUCGCAAGACCAAAGUGGGGGACCUUCGGGCCUCAUGCCAUCAGAUGUGCCCAGAUGGGAUUAGCUAGUAGGUGGGGUAACGGCUCACCUAGGCGACGAUCCCUAGCUGGUCUGAGAGGAUGACCAGCCACACUGGAACUGAGACACGGUCCAGACUCCUACGGGAGGCAGCAGUGGGGAAUAUUGCACAAUGGGCGCAAGCCUGAUGCAGCCAUGCCGCGUGUGUGAAGAAGGCCUUCGGGUUGUAAAGCACUUUCAGCGGGGAGGAAGGCGUUAAGGUUAAUAACCUUGGCGAUUGACGUUACCCGCAGAAGAAGCACCGGCUAACUCCGUGCCAGCAGCCGCGGUAAUACGGAGGGGUGCAAGCGUUAAUCGGAAUUACUGGGCGUAAAGCGCACGCAGGCGGUCUGUCAAGUCGGAUGUGAAAUCCCCGGGCUCAACCUGGGAACUGCAUUCGAAACUGGCAGGCUAGAGUCUUGUAGAGGGGGGUAGAAUUCCAGGUGUAGCGGUGAAAUGCGUAGAGAUCUGGAGGAAUACCGGUGGCGAAGGCGGCCCCCUGGACAAAGACUGACGCUCAGGUGCGAAAGCGUGGGGAGCAAACAGGAUUAGAUACCCUGGUAGUCCACGCCGUAAACGAUGUCGAUUUGGAGGUUGUGCCCUUGAGGCGUGGCUUCCGGAGCUAACGCGUUAAAUCGAC
rnacentral:rRNA from 1 species